rnacentral:rRNA from 1 species
UCGAGAAUUUUUCUCAAUGGGCGAAAGCCUGAAGGAGCGACGCCGCGUGGGGGAUGAAUGGCUUCGGCCCGUAAACCCCUGUCAUUUGUGACCAAACCUUUUCAUUUAACACAUGAAAAGCUGAUGGUAGCGGAAGAGGAAGGGACGGCUAACUCUGUGCCAGCAGCCGCGGUAAUACAGAGGUCCCGAGCGUUGUUCGGAUUCACUGGGCGUAAAGGGUGCGUAGGUGGCCGGGUAAGUCUGAUGUGAAAUCUCGAAGCUUAACUUCGAAACUGCAUUGGAUACUAUUCGGCUGGAGGGUUGGAGGGGGGACUGGAAUUCUCGGUGUAGCAGUGAAAUGCGUAGAUAUCGAGAGGAACACCAGUGGCGAAGGCGAGUCCCUGGACAACUCCUGACACUGAGGCACGAAAGCUGAGGGAGCAAACAG